AUGAACGCUAGCGGCAGGCCUAAUACAUGCAAGUCGAACGAUAGAUAGARGCUUGCUUCUAUCGAAAGUGGCGCACGGGUGCGUAACGCGUAUGCAACCUACCUUAAUCUGGGGGAUAGCCCGGAGAAAUCCGGAUUAAUACCGCAUAAAAUCACAGGAUGGCAUUAUCCAAUGAUCAAACAUUUAUGGGAUUGAGAUGGGCAUGCGUGUCAUUAGCUAGUUGGCGGGGUAACGGCCCACCAAGGCGACGAUGACUAGGGGAUCUGAGAGGAUGGCCCCCCACACUGGUACUGAGACACGGACCAGACUCCUACGGGAGGCAGCAGUAAGGAAUAUUGGUCAAUGGAGGCAACUCWGAACCAGCCAUGCCGCGUGCAGGAAGAC
rnacentral:rRNA from 1 species